UAAGGAAUUUUCGGCAAUGGGGGAAACCCUGACCGAGCAACGCCGCGUGAGUGAUGACGGCCCUAUGGGUUGUAAAGCUCUGUUGUAAGGGACGAAUGGCCCUCAUAGGAAAUGAUGAGGGUUUGACGGUACCUUACCAGAAAGCCACGGCUAACUACGUGCCAGCAGCCGCGGUAAUACGUAGGUGGCAAGCGUUAUCCGGAAUUAUUGGGCGUAAAGAGUGAGCAGGCGGCAGAUUAAGUUUGGAGUUAAAUUAAGGGGCUCAACCCCUUAUCGCUCUGAAAACUGAUCAGCUAGAGUGCGAGAGAGGUAAACGGAACUCCAUGUGUAGCGGUGAAAUGCGUAGAUAUAUGGAAGAACACCAGUGGCGAAGGCGGUUUACUAGCUCGAUACUGACGCUCAGUCACGAAAGCGUGGGUAGCAAAUAGG
rnacentral:rRNA from 2 species